CCGAGGUACGAGUCUGAGGGACAGACGCUCUCAGCCAGCCGCUUCUCCCGCAAACAGACUCCUCUGCCAGCAGGGGACAUAACGUGUUUUCCACCGCACUUUGCGCUGUGUGUAGCAACACGGGGAAGGCAUCGGCACGCGAAAUCACGCGAAAUGACCGAAAAGGCCGAGGAGUAUACGAGCCGAGUGGCACCGCUCCCCGGCCCACACGUCCUCCGCGGGAGAACUGCCUGCGUGCUACCCCGGCAGACUCUGAAAGAAGCUGAAGGUGAGGCUGUGCCUUGCUUGGUCCCGGCACAAAAUUCUGGUCCUUCUUUCAUCUGCCUAAGGGAGCUUACUUAGCCUCAGCUACUUAGCACACAAUUUUUGGCCGUGGCAGCCCCUGAAGCAGGAGAAGCUAAAUCCGGAUCACUUACCGCUGCCAUAUUUCUGAGGAGCUCCUGUGUUCCUAUUGGCUUAUGAGUCUGGGUGUUUUUCUCCCCCUUACAGUGUAAGAAAUUAACUCCUUCAUUAAUGUCCACCACACACCCAGAACCACAUGGGGCUUACCUGCCCACAGAAUUGUGGAUCACCUUUUCUCUGGAAAUUUCUGCAACUAGAGCCCUGCUGGGAAGAACUUGUGGCUAUAUGCGGAUGCCAGGCUUCCUAUAUUAAGUUUAGUAUCAAAGAAAGCACUGCUAUAUUUUAUGUACUCAAGGACCAAAGGGCAAGGAGCUGACAAGUGACUCAAUACUUCCUUUCCUUCUCUUAAAGAAACAGAUGUCUGAGGAUUGAGGCCCCAAAAUAAGGAUUCGCUGUAGAAUUCUUGUAAGUUACUCCCACAAAGGAUGGACAGAUAGGUAAGACAGAUAGGUAGAAAUACAUAUCUCUGUGUAACAGAUAAAGAGAUAUUCUGAGGGCAAUUUAAAUAGAUUCUUUGUGUUCAUGCUUAUCACGAGCUUAUUAGUAGAGUAUUAUUGUGUCCAUUGCACACAUGCACUAAGUGAGAUCCCAAUAGGCUACUGUUUUAAGUAUCAGUUGUUGGUGAAGUGAGGCCUGGAAUGCCUGUCUCUGGUGUUCUUGUACCAUGCUCCCAAGUCAUACCCAUUUAUGGUAAAAACACAGCCAUCUCCCACCUUCUAAUCCUGAGCACUCCGAAUAGGCAAAAAACUAAAGCAAACUGGAAGAGCACCCCUUUCCUGGGCAACACUCCCACUCCAGGUGACAAGUGCCACUCAUGACAUAGGAAAGUACUGCUGUACUCUGAUGCUUACAGCUAGGUUAGAUGUUGAUGGCAAAAUAAAGGCCUCCAGAGAAUGUCCUGCGAGUCUGUGAAUAUGCUAAGUGAAUGAGGCAAAGAGGAAUUAAGGUUGUGGAUGGUAUUAAACUCACUAAUCAUCUGACUUUAAAGGUUAUCCUGGAUUAUCCCUGAUGAGAUCAUUGUAAGAACAAAGUCCUAAAAAGGUGGAACAGUGUGGUGGUGGAAGCAGGCGUGAGAGAUUUUUAAAGAUGCUGACUUAAACUGAGAGAAUGGAGCCCUGAGCCAAGAAAUAUGGGCAGCCCAAGACUGUGGGCUGGGAAAAGCAAGGAAAUGGGUUUUUUUCCCCUCUAGAGCUUCCAACAAGGAACAUGAACCAGCUGAAACCUUGAAUUUAACCCAGUGAGAUACAUGUUAGAGAGUUCACCUACAGAGCUAUCAGAAAAUUAGUGUUGUCUAAACCACUAAUUUAAUGGUAAUUUAUUACAGCAGCAACAGGAAACUUGCAUAGUAGGAAUCUGUUAUUACUGUGAUUUAAUCUCCUUUCUAAAGGAUUUUAAGGAAGCAUCUUGAAAUUUACAUUUACGAGUGUCUCUGGAGUUUGGGGCCAUUCAUUCAUCACAGAAGAAGAAGAAAUCUAUCUGAGGAAAUUGGACCAAGUACCUCUGUCUCUUAAUAUGUCCCAAAGCUGAGAACGUGCAAUGGUCUUGGGCUGCUGCCAUCAGGCAGAGCCAUGUUCAAGAAUAUUUAAAAGCCGUCUUUAUUCUUGCUUUCCAUUUGAAGAUGAAUUCAAGGGUUCCCAACAUCACAAGUGUUUAAGUUUCAAAUCUUGCCAUGUGACAGACAUGCAUCCAUAUCAGAAGCUCUCUGCCAACCCACACAGCUCUGAUCCUAGGUAGAUCCAAGAAUGUUGCCUGAAUAAACGUGAAGCUAUGGGUGCAUUACUGUCUCCUGCUUCAAGUCAGGGCAGCAACAUAAUCUAGCACACAAGAAAGCAAGUGCAUGCUUAUGGAAUGUGUGGAAGACUAAAUCAUUGAAUGCAAGAAUAUGUCUUAGAAAUUGUAUGCAUGACUGAAUCUUUUACAGUCCUAAGGAUUGAUUUCUUGGGUCUUAGAAACGGCUGUGGCCUCUGUAGCAACACAGCCUGCAUGAAUGGUUUCAGCAAUGCCCUCAUGCAAUAGAUGUUGUGCUGUCUUUUCCAGAGUCCUGGAGUUUCUGAGUUAUUUUAAAGGCUGUCUAGGAGUACCUGCAGAUACCCACAGUACCUGCAACCAAAGCUGGUCAACCUCUAGAUUUCAUAUCUUUGGAUUUCACAUAUGAUUUUGUUAGAAGAGGCUCGUUAGAAGAGGAAAAAAAGAAAUAAACACCAGUUUAUAGAGAACUUCUGCUGUUGUAAUGCUAGAAUCCAAACUGAGACCCUAGAAGGGUGAAAGCAACACAGCAACAGAGCAGGCUCUAGCUUACAGACUUAAAACUUAAGUGCAAGAUUUACCAACUCUUAUGAUAUCACCAACAGCAAGUGCAAAAUCACUGCUCUCCUUGCAUGAUCAUUUCUAUCUGUGUUUUCAUACAAACUCAUGGAGUCACAGGCUGCCUUUUGUAAGCUGGUGAUGAUCUGCUAACAUCACUUGCCAUGUGCUGGACUUGAUGUUUAACAGUAUAUCUGCUAGGGAUGGGGAUUUAGCUCAGUGGCAUAAACACCUGCCUUACAAGGUGUGGUUGAGAGUUUGAUCUCUGGUACAAAAAAAAAAAAACAAUAUAUCUGCUAAGAGGCAUCUCAGAGAUGCAUUGCAUAAUUCUAUCCUUGUUUGGGAAAUCAUUAAAAAGGGACUCACUCUCAGGCAACAUGGCCAAUUUGAUAAAAUCCCCAUUAGAGAGGGGCUUAUCGUGUUUUGCUAUGUACAGUGAAAUUUGAAAGCUGAUUUGUUUUAAAAAGAACUAGUUUGAAAAAACUAAGACACUA